UACGUAGGGUGCGAGCGUUGUCCGGAAUUAUUGGGCGUAAAGGGCUCGUAGGCGGUUUGUCGCGUCGGGAGUGAAAACCCAGGGCUUAACCCUGGGCUGGCUUCCGAUACGGGCAGACUAGAGGUAUGCAGGGGAGAACGGAAUUCCUGGUGUAGCGGUGAAAUGCGCAGAUAUCAGGAGGAACACCGGUGGCGAAGGCGGCUCUCUGGGCAUUACCUGACGCUGAGGAGCGAAAGUGUGGGGAGCGAACAGG
rnacentral:rRNA from 1 species